rnacentral:rRNA from 1 species
UACGAAGGGGGCUAGCGUUGUUCGGAAUUACUGGGCGUAAAGCGCGCGCAGGCGGUUCUACAAGUCAGUGGUGAAAGCCCGGGGCUCAACUCCGGAACUGCCUUUAAGACUGCAUCGCUUGAAUCCAGGAGAGGUGAGUGGAAUUCCGAGUGUAGAGGUGAAAUUCGUAGAUAUUCGGAAGAACACCAGUGGCGAAGGCGGCUCACUGGACUGGUAUUGACGCUGAGGUGCGAAAGCGUGGGGAGCAAACAGG